rnacentral:miRNA from 1 species
UCUCUCUCUCUCUCUCUCUCUCUCUCUCUCACCUUGGUCAAAAGGUGCAAGAGAGAGAGAGAGAGAGAGAGAAA